UAGCCCCAAUCCACAGCCCCGCGCCCCUCGCUCCUCCCUCCCUCGUCCGCCCCGAGCCACACGCACACCCAAUCCCCUCCCCUCCAACCCUAGCCGCCCCGCUCCCCUCCCUCUCCACGGCGCCGCCGCCGCCUCCUCCCCUUCUGCCCUGCUCUCCACCGUGCCGCCUCUUCCUCCUCUUCACUGCCCUCUCCAGCGGCGGCAAAGAACGGCGGCGCUCGAUCCGAUCUGCUGAAGAGAAAAGAUGAGAGAGGGAGAGAGACAAGGAAGGAGAGGAGGGAGAAAGAUAGAGGAAAGAGGAGAGCGAGGUGUGACGGCGGAUGAGAGAGGGUGACCGGAAGGAGCGUGACGACCUGCAGACAAAGGGCGGUGGCGGCGCCGCUCGAUUUGAUCUGCGGGAUAGAGAAGAUGAGAGGGAGAGAGAGAAGGAAGAACAUGAGAGGAGGGAGAAAGAGAUAGGAAAGAGGAGAGGGGGUCGACGGCCAACAGGAGAGGACCACCGGAAGGAGUGCCGCCGGCUCGUCGUCUUCCACCGCCGGCGUCGGCCUGCACCGGCGAGGUCGGGCGGGACCUUGCUUCCAGGGAGGCUUGACCACAGUCUAGAGAACAGUAAAAAUGGAGGAUUUGGGGGCUGCUCAGUUUUGGAGUAGCAAACCAUGGAGGAUAUGGGGCUGCACGUGCUUGGAGCAGCAAGCCAUGGCAAAGAAGGCGAAUAAGCAACACAUACAUUACUGCCAGGGGUGGCUGUUUGUUUACUGAAGGGGGUGUUGAUCUGCUGCCCCUUGUUCUACACUCUGUCCAGGAUAGGGAGGCAGAAGAGAGGACAUGUUGAAGAAUCAAGGGGGACAACCACUAUUCAGUUUUUCUUUGCUAUUGCAUUACAGAAUUGUAGGGUGUUUAGAUUUUAAAUGCUGGCAUUGAUCGAGCUGUUAACUGGUUUUUAGUUCUGAUUAGAUGCGAAUCAUGUUUUAAUUAUGAUGAGAUGCAGAAAUUGUUGAGACAGGGCAUGAAUGGUAUAUAUUUUAGCCGUGCUUUUAUUCCCUUUUGCCCUUUCCAAAGGGACUACUCUACUUUUGUUGACCAUUAGUAUAUAUUUUUCAGAUCCAGAUCCAUUUAUCUAAUGAGAGGUGUAUCAGAGAAAUAAAAAAUAUAUUGAACUACAGUUCGUGACUUUAUGCGAAGAAUUCUAAGGGAGCAAGUCAUUUUACUGGGGCUAAUAAACCCAUACCCCGCAUCUCGUCUGCCCCGGGUGCGGAGGCGAGCUUCCCGGCGAUGGCGGCAGCGCUGGAUUCGAUCUGCAGGAGAGACAGGGAGGUGCGGCUUCAAAUGGGAGAGGGUCUUGAGACAGCUUCACAAGUAUUUAUGAUGAUCAUUUGCAUGAUCUUGCCCAGUUCUUAUAGGGCCUGCAGAUCAGCUGGGAGGAGCAGUGGCAAGCAGCAGCAGCGGUGGCAAGUAGAGGCAGUGGGCAGCAGAAGCCCAUAUGCAUCUGCUAGGCUGCGUGAACUGUAGAUCGAUUGAGUGCCCGACCAGGAUUUAACUUGGCUGCUAUAAGAUGGAGGGGUCCUCGGCCGGAAUCUCCAUCAAUUUGCGUCCUUGGGCCAUAAUCUCCAUCAAAUUCCGUCGAAAUUUGCACGAAGCGUCCAAUGUCGCCACAGAGUUUGCUGGAGGAACAAGAACAUUGGUCCGUCCAGUGUCGCCUGCAGCGGCUACACCAAAGGAAAUGAAGUUUCUUCCUCGAUCAAGUUAUCAGUCCUUGGUUCACUCUUGCCCUUUGCGCUUGAUGAGACGGGUGAGGAGGAGGAGGAGGAGGAGAGUGUGGGGGCAUCUGGAGAGGAGCGAGGGGUGAGAAGAUGAGAGGGAGAGAGAUAAGAGGAGGGACAUGAAGGGGAGAAGAGGGGUGUGGCAGGGCCGGACCUCCUGCCCGGACAAGGCACGCGGAGGAUGCGCGACAUCAUUUCUUUGGUAUUGUCUCCUCUCUACUGCUCCCCACCCAUCCCUUCUUCCAGAUCUCUUCUUCUCUCAUGUACUCCCCUGCUGGUGAACGCAAAGGGAUGGAUCUGGCCACCAGGGACAUGCUGGGCUUGCUUUCAUCCUAUAUGCGCAAGAUAGAAAAGCAUCAAGUGGAGAUAUGGGGAAAAUCUGGGCUUAAGAAUGGUUGAGUUGUGGAUAUUUUGCUCAAGCAUUCUGGAGUCAGAGGAAUUAGCUCCAUACACCUUGUCAAUGGUGUUGCUGAACAGGAUACCACAUAAGUUGGGCUGGAUGAUGAAAAUUCUGCUCAAAUAAGAUCUAAGCGCAAGAGUAAAGGACAAAUUCAUGAACCUCACACCCAUGAGCUCAGGUUUGUCCAACCUAAACAAAGCACAGACAACAGAGCUGGUUACCUCAACAUGUGAUGUUAGAGGCUCGGAAAAUCAACAAGUUCAAUGCACAAAUAUGGUUGUUGAUCAGCCUACAUGGGCUGGGAAUCUUGUGAGCAAUUCUGGUGAUGUUUCUACAUUUCUUAGAAAGCUAAUUGACCAAGGAAAAGUUAGUGUUGGUGAUAUACAAUCAGAACUGAGUCUCUCAUCUGAAUCGUUGGAAGCUGCUCUUGAGAAAAUUGGGGGCAAAUCAUGGCUGGAGCAUAUGUGAACUUGGCCUCCGGUCAUUUAUUCAGGAGAGGGAGCUACAACGGCAGGAGAAGAAUGCAACGAGGUGCGGUCUUCUGUUCGAUGCCAAGGGCCUAUCCGGCAGCGAUUUCCUCUGUACAUUUAGAAGUCACAAUAGAGAAGGUUCGUAGCCUUGGCUCCAAAGCUUCAAGCUCUUAUAGAAAUUAGAACUGAGGGCCUUUUAAAAUGAGUCCUGCAUAAUAUUGUUGUUCAGUGGGAUGCAGGAUUUUUAUUUGUCUGAUCAGCUAUCCUUGGUGCUGAUUUACGUACCGAUUUCAUCAUCAUAUGACUACAAUAAAGAAGUUGUGUGUAUAAAUAUUUCUAACUGCUGAUACUUUGCAUCAGUGAUUUCAA